UUAGGUAUCAUGAAUGUUUUCUAUUCUUUGACUGUAGAACUAAUUGAAGAGUUUCUCAUCGCUGUUGAAGCUAAUACGAAUUCAUUUAUUGGUCACAAAAUGCCAAUAUGCGAUCCUGGUUUGAAAUUUUUUGUUGGAUCUGUAAAAAUUGAGCCAUGUUUCAAAUCUCAAGAGCUAUUUCACUCAAGAAAACGAGCCAAUAUUCCGACUCUGAAUAAGCUUAAGCGGCUUACAACGGAUAACUCUAGUAGUCUAGGCUCGUUCCGAGAAGCAGAGAUUGUGAACUCAUUCCAGGAAUUGACGGCGACGACCGGGAGAAAAGUGUUUCUGUGUGAAGUGUGCAACUUCAAAGCUAAUUCAAAAGCGGCUGUUAAACGACAUGUGUGGAUUACACAUAGUGUCAAUUGCCCCAGGUAUUUUUGUUCGAUGUGUUCGGCGAAGAUCAAGGAAAAGGGCAAUCUGAAAGUGCACUACUUGAAAGUGCACAAAUUGAGUGAUAGUAUGGCUACUGUUGCUGUGUCCGAAAGUAGAAUGACCACAGACGCUGAAACAGAAGCGAGGACAAGUUCAACUGCGAUAUGAAAUGAGUUAGAUUUUCAUCUCAAAGAUCCUUAGAAAGCAGAGUUUUAGCAGAAUAGCAAUUCGAACCCCAAUCGGAUGUCAUUCUGAUUCUGUCAACCGAAUGACUCCUGCAUAAACUAGACAAACGAACGUCUUUCCCUCUCAACUAGAAGUAGUAAAAUGAGGCAGAUGUGAAUCUACUCUACAUAAGAUGAACUAAAAAUUAAUUCAAAUCUGAACUUUGAAAUUCCUAUUUAGUAUUUUGCCAGAUUUUUUAUUAGUUUAUUAAUCAA